rnacentral:rRNA from 1 species
CCUACGGGUGGCAGCAGUGAGGAAUAUUGGUCAAUGGCCGUAAGGCUGAACCAGCAAAGUCGCGUGAAGGAAGAAGGAUCUAUGGUUUGUAAAAUUCUUUUAUAGGGGAAUAAAGGUAUCCAAGUGUGGAUAUUUGCAUGUACCCUAUGAAUAAGCAUCGGCUCACUCCGUGCCAGCAGCCGCGGUCAUGCGGAGGAUGCGAGCGUUAUCCGGAUUUAUUGGGUUUAAAGGGAGCGUAGGUUUGUUUUUAAGUCAGCGGUGAAAGUUUGUGGAUCAACCAUCAAAUUGCCGUUGAAAAUGGAAGACUUGAGUGUGUUUGAGGUAGGCGGAAUGCGUGGUGUAGCGGUGAAAUGCAUAGAUAUCACGCAGAACUCCGAUUGCGAAGGCAGCUUACUAAGCCAUAACUGACACUGAAGCACGAAAGCGUGGGGAUCAAACAGGAUUAGAUACCCGGGUAGUC